rnacentral:rRNA from 1 species
GACGAACGCUGGCGGCGUGCUUAACACAUGCAAGUCGAACGGUGAAGCGCCUUCCUUUUUGGUGGGUGUGGAUGAGUGGCGAACGGGUGAGUAACACGUGAGUAACCUGCCCCCUUCUUCUGGAUAACCGCAUGAAAGUGUGGCUAAUACGGGAUAUUCUGGGUCUGUCGCAUGAUGGGUCUGGGAAAGAUAUUGUUUCGGUGGGGGAUGGGCUCGCGGCCUAUCAGCUUGUUGGUGGGGUGAUGGCCUACCAAGGCGGUGACGGGUAGCCGGCCUGAGAGGGUGGACGGUCACACUGUGAAUGAGACACGGCCCAGACUCCUACGGGAGGCAGCAGUGGGGAAUAUUGCACAAUGGGCGCAAGCCUGAUGCAGCGACGCCGCGUGAGGGAUGGAGGCCUUCGGGUUGUGAACCUCUUUCGCCAGUGAAGCAGGCCUGCCUCGUUUGUGGGUGGGUUGACGGUAGCUGGAUAAGAAGCGCCGGCUAACUACGUG